rnacentral:lncRNA from 1 species
AGGACGGCCGUCUGACGCGGGAGGAGAUCGUGGCCAAAUACGACCUAUUUGUGGGCAGCCAGGCCACCGACUUCGGGGAGGCGUUGGUGCGACACGACGAGUUCUGAGGACCCCCCCCCCCCCCCCCAUGUCCCACCCAGCCCAGCAUGGACCGAUUAUGGGGGGGGGGGGGGAUGCUGAGAUUUGGGGCCGAUUGGGCUGAAUUUGGGGUCGGGUGCUGAGGUUUGGGGUCAGUCUGUGAGAGUUUGGGGUCAGAUGCUGAGAUUUGGGGUCAGAUGCUGAGAUUUGGGGCCGAUUGGGCUGAAUUUGGGGUCAGGUGCUGAGAUUUGGGGUCGGUUUGUGAGAGUUUGGGGUCAGGGCUGGAGAUUUGGGGUCAUUUCAUGAGAGUUUGGGGUCAGAUGCUGAGAUUUGGGGCUGAUUGGGCUGAAUUUGGGGUCAGUUCAUGAGAGUUUGGGGUCAGAUGCUGAGAUUUGGGGUCAGAUGCUGAGAUUUGGGGUCAUUUCAUGAGAGUUCGGGGUCAGAUGCUGAGAUUUGGGGUCAGAUGCUGAGAUUUGGGGCCGAUUGGGCUGAAUUUGGGGUCGGGUGCUGAGAUUUGGGGUCAUUUUGUGAGAGUUUGGGGUCAGAUGCUGAGAUUUGGGGUCAGAUGCUGAGAUUUGGGGUCCGUUUGUGAGAGUUUGGGGUCAG